rnacentral:rRNA from 1 species
GUGGGAGCACAGGUUUACCUGUGUGACUGCGUACCUUUUGUAUAAUGGGUCAGCGACUUAUAUUCUGUAGCAAGGUUAACCGUAUAGGGGAGCCGUAGGGAAACCGAGUCUUAACCGGGCGUUAAGUUGCAGGGUAUAGACCCGAAACCCGGUGAUCUAGCCAUGGGCAGGUUGAAGGUUGGGUAACACUAACUGGAGGACCGAACCGACUAAUGUUGAAAAAUUAGCGGAUGACCUGUGGCUGGGGGUGAAAGGCCAAUCAAACCGGGAGAUAGCUGGUUCUCCCCGAAAGCUAUUUAGGUAGCGCCUCGUGAAUUCAUCUCCGGGGGUAGAGCACUGUUUCGGCUAGGGGGCCAUCCCGGCUUACCAACCCGAUGCAAACUGCGAAUACCGGAGAAUGUUAUCACGGGAGACACACGGCGGGUGCUAACGUCCGUCGUGAAGAGGGAAACAACCCAGACCGCCAGCUAAGGUCCCAAAGUCAUGGUUAAGUGGGAAACGAUGUGGGAAGGCCCAGACAGCCAGGAUGUUGGCUUAGAAGCAGCCAUCAUUUAAAGAAAGCGUAAUAGCUCACUGGUCGAGUCGGCCUGCGCGGAAGAUGUAACGGGGCUAAACCAU